rnacentral:rRNA from 1 species
CGUCCGAUCGGGCAUCGAGAUCGACCCAACGGCGCGCGAGCGCCCACGACCGCGACCCCAGGUCAGGCGGGAUCACCCGCUGAGUUUAAGCAUAUCUA